UCCGUAGGGUGAACCUGCGGAAGGAUCAUUACCUAGAGUUUGUGGGCUUUGCCUGCUAUCUCUUACCCAUGUCUUUUGAGUACUUACGUUUCCUCGGCGGGUCCGCCCGCCGAUUGGACAAAAUUAAACCCUUUGCAGUUGCAAUCAGCGUCUGAAAAACAUAAUAGUUACAACUUUCAACAACGGAUCUCUUGGUUCUGGCAUCGAUGAAGAACGCAGCGAAAUGCGAUAAGUAGUGUGAAUUGCAGAAUUCAGUGAAUCAUCGAAUCUUUGAACGCACAUUGCGCCCCUUGGUAUUCCAUGGGGCAUGCCUGUUCGAGCGUCAUUUGUACCUUCAAGCUCUGCUUGGUGUUGGGUGUUUGUCUCGCCUUUGCGUGUAGACUCGCCUCAAAACAAUUGGCAGCCGGCGUAUUGAUUUCGGAGCGCAGUACAUCUCGCGCUUUGCACUCAUAACGACGACGUCCAAAAAGUACAUUUUUACACUCUUGACCUCGGAUCAGGUAGGGAUACCCGCUGAACUUAAGCAUAUCAAUAAGGCGGAGGA
rnacentral:rRNA from 1 species